rnacentral:rRNA from 1 species
GUCAGAUGAACGCUGGCGGCAUGCCUUACACAUGCAAGUCGAACGGCAGCACGGGGGCAACCCUGGUGGCGAGUGGCGAACGGGUGAGUAAUACAUCGGAACGUGUCCUGUAGUGGGGGAUAGCCCGGCGAAAGCCGGAUUAAUACCGCAUACGCUCUACGGAGGAAAGGGGGGGAUCUUAGGACCUCCCGCUACAGGGGCGGCCGAUGGCAGAUUAGCUAGUUGGUGGGGUAAAGGCCUACCAAGGCGACGAUCUGUAGCUGGUCUGAGAGGACGACCAGCCACACUGGGACUGAGACACGGCCCAGACUCCUACGGGAGGCAGCAGUGGGGAAUUUUGGACAAUGGGGGAAACCCUGAUCCAGCAAUGCCGCGUGUGUGAAGAAGGCCUUCGGGUUGUAAAGCACUUUUGUCCGGAAAGAAAACCUCUGGGUUAAUACCCCGGGGGGAUGACGGUACCGGAAGAAUAAGCACCGGCUAACUACGUGCCAGCAGCCGCGGUAAUACGUAGGGUGCAAGCGUUAAUCGGAAUUACUGGGCGUAAAGCGUGCGCAGGCGGUCCGCUAAGACAGAUGUGAAAUCCCCGGGCUUAACCUGGGAACUGCAUUUGUGACUGGCGGGCUAGAGUAUGGCAGAGGGGGGUAGAAUUCCACGUGUAGCAGUGAAAUGCGUAGAGAUGUGGAGGAAUACCGAUGGCGAAGGCAGCCCCCUGGGCCAAUACUGACGCUCAUGCACGAAAGCGUGGGGAGCAAACAGGAUUAGAUACCCUGGUAGUCCACGCCCUAAACGAUGUCAACUAGUUGUCGGGUCUUCAUUGACUUGGUAACGUAGCUAACGCGUGAAGUGAC